UACGUAGGGGGCAAGCGUUAUCCGGAAUUACUGGGUGUAAAGGGAGCGUAGACGGUAAUGUAAGUCUGGAGUGAAAGGCGGGGGCCCAACCCCCGGACUGCUCUGGAAACUAUGUUACUAGAGUGCAGGAGAGGUAAGCGGAAUUCCUAGUGUAGCGGUGAGAUGCGUAGAUAUUAGGAGGAGCACCAGUGGCGAAGGCGGCUUACUGGACUGUAACUGACGUUGAGGCUCGAAAGCGUGGGGAGCAAACAGG
rnacentral:rRNA from 1 species